AUUUUCGGCAAUGGGGGGAACCCUGACCGAGCAACGCCGCGUGAAUGACGAAGUACUUCGGUAUGUAAAGUUCUUUUAUUAAGGAAGAAAGUGAAGUGGAACAACUGUAUAGACGUUACGUAUUGAAUAAGCUCCGGCUAACUCUGUGCCAGCAGCCGCGGUAAUACACAGGGGGCAAGCGUUAUCCGGAAUUAUUGGGCGUAAAGGGUGCGUAGGCGGCCUAGUAAGUUGAAAGUGUAAGUGAAAGGCUCAACCUUGUGAUGCUUUAGAAACUGGUAGGCUAGAGGACAGUAGAGGCAAGUGGAAUUCCAUGUGUAGCGGUAAAAUGCGUAAAUAUAUGGAGGAACACCAGUGGCGAAGGCGACUUGCUGGGCUGUAACUGACGCUGAGGCACGAAAGCGUGGGGAGCAAACAGG
rnacentral:rRNA from 1 species